UUUCACGUUACCUGUCGAUCUUAUCUCUUUGAAAAUACUUUCCCUUGAUGUGAUUUUAGGAAUCGAUUGGUUAACUACUCAUCAUGCCAAAAUUUAUUAUUUUCGUUAGGUUGUUAGCUUUCAUAUUCCUAACCAACCUGUUAUACGAAUUCAAGCAACCAAACCACUAAAAGUCAAUCAUUAUCAUAUGAGGCCAUAAGUAAAGAGCCCCGAGCCUUUAUCUGGUGACUUCCUUGUGUGGAAUGAACCGAAGCCAGACUUUCUAUAGGGGACGUCGUGAAUAAUGGUGGCAAGUUGAUAGGUAUCUAUGUGACGUGCUAUCCAAGUCUUGGACGAGGGUCACAGUUUUGAAUGAUAUUUCUAUCGUUAAUAAAUUUCUUAACGUAUUUCUGAAGACUUCUUGG
rnacentral:lncRNA from 1 species